rnacentral:rRNA from 1 species
UACGUAGGGGGCUAGCGUUGUCCGGAAUCAUUGGGCGUAAAGGGCUCGUAGGCGGCCAACUAAGUCCGACGUGAAAUCCCCAGGCUUAACCUGGGAACUGCGUCGGAUACUGGAUGGCUUGAAUUCGGGAGAGGGAUGCAGAAUUCCAGGUGUAGCGGUGAAAUGCGUAGAUAUCUGGAGGAAUACCGGUGGCGAAGGCGGCAUCCUGGACCGACAUUGACGCUGAUGAGCGAAAGCUAGGGGAGCAAACGGGG